UACAGAGGUCUCAAGCGUUGUUCGGAUUCAUUGGCGUAAAGGGUGCGUAGGCGGCGCGGUAAGUCGGGUGUGAAAUCUCGGAGCUUAACUCCGAAACUGCAUUCGAUACUGCCGUGCUUGAGGACUGGAGAGGAGACUGGAAUUUACGGUGUAGCGGUGAAAUGCGUAGAUAUCGUAAGGAAGACCAGUGGCGAAGGCGGGUCUCUGGACAGUUCCUGACGCUGAGGCACGAAGGCCAGGGAGCAAACGGG
rnacentral:rRNA from 1 species